rnacentral:piRNA from 1 species
UGUACCAGAGGUGCUGUAGGCUUGCAGGAA